GGAGAAUCUGAGACUUCUGAAGAGUUUCUUGCUUCUUUCCUGUGGGGCAGUGACUCCACUUCCCAGCAGUAAUGGAAUAUCCUGAAUUAGCUACAUUAAUGUUAGAACCAUUUGGACCUCACCCAGGACUUCAACUACAUUGUGAGUAACUCCUGGACGACUGGCACAGAAGAAGGCACAAGGCAAAUACCCAUCUCUGUACACCCUGUGCUACUGUGUCAUGUGCUGCUCCAGGCAACUCCAAUGGAUUGGCCACCCUGGCCAAUGUGUUCUAGUAUGUUAGGUUUAUGUUCCCCUGCUUUCUACAAUCCUGUUCAAAGAGUUGCUGACUUAACCACAGAGAGAAUUCCAGAACAUGAGACACAGAAUAAACUUGAACAAUCAUAGUCCAUCCACUUCAUUUUCUCAUCGAAAACCAAAGGUCCAGUGAGGCUCUGGAACUCGACGCUGUAAAGGAGCGAAGGAGCAUCUAUACAGAACCUGGAUGCCUGUCUCCUUAUCCUACUUCAGCGGACUUGACUGCAAUCCGGAUUAUGCUGUUUUCUAAGCAUUUAAAAUAAAAUAAAAAGUGUAA
rnacentral:antisense_RNA from 1 species